rnacentral:lncRNA from 1 species
CCCUGUUUGCACUGUUUGAGAAGUUCCCUUAGCUUUUUACAUCCUUCCAUAGUGAUUUCCUUUCCUGUAAAUUCUCAGCUUCCAACCUUAGACCUGUCUUCUUAAUGGCUUUAAGGUUACAACUGGUCUUCCAUCCCUUACCCAUAACCCCCAAGCCUGCAAGCCUGCAGGGCUUUUGCUAUGAGACUGUGAAGUAGCACCUCUUCCCUAGGUCAGGCAGGCUGAGAGGUUCCAGGAAUGAAGAAUCGGAAGAUUUUUUUUUUUUUUUUUUUUUUACAAAGAGUAAAUAUUUUAAUUUUUUAAGUAUUCUCAAUUUCAUAAUAUUUUAAAUAAUCACACUAACCAGAUACAUUCCCCUUGUACCAUAUCAGUAUUAACUUUAAGUAUUCACAUCCAUAAUUAACAUAAUUAGGAAAUUUAGCAAAGAUGGUAAACAUCUACAUGAAUGUUCUCAUACUUGUGGCAAUUUAGUCUCUAAAAUAAGUUAGGCUGGAUUUACAUAAAAGCUGAAUUUGGUGCCUCUUUCAAAUUUAUCCUUGAAAAAACAAAUAGUCCUGGUGAGCAGCAGGUUAUACAGGGUGCCAGGCAAAUCCUACCAGAAACUGGGAGCUGCUAUUCCAUACUACAAAAUGCAGGAGAAGCAGAAGAGUGAACAUGUUGGGGGCUGCUAUUCUGACUGUCCAGGCACCAGAAUCACCCUGAGCCAGUGCCACCCAUCCCAGCUCUGGACACAGCAGUACUCUGGUGCUCACUAGGAAGCCAGCACCUGGAAGAUUGCUUUUUUCAUAAAAGAGUUGUGCACACUAAAACAAGAACUCCCAAGGCUAUGGUGGACUCCCUCUACUAGAGUUUCACAUUUUAAAUGAUAAAAACAAGAAAUGCUUUUUAAAUACAAGUGUGAGAAAGUAGGGAAAAUUUAAACAUCAAGAAUCAUAAGAAUAUAUAUAGUAGUACUGAAUAUAAAUUUUAUUUUUUUUUAUUUUUUAUUUUUUAUUUGUAGAUUGGCCCAAUACCUUUAUUUGACUUACUUUUACGUAGUGCUGAGAAGCCAAUCGAGUGUCUCACAUGUGCAAGCACUCUACCAUUGAGCUACAACCUCAGCCCCCAAAAUUGUUUUAAAACAUUUAAAUACACCAUUAAGACAUGAAAGACAGGCAGCAUAGGGAGGAGAUAUCUACAAUACUGACACUAAAAACAGUUCAGAACACAUAAGAGACAAGGAUCCUACAAAUCAAUGUGAUAUGAAAUAGAAAACAGGAAUUUCACAAAAGAAGUCAAGCAAGUUCAGAUCACAGAAACCUAACACUGUCGUCACUGCAGCCCCUUUAGGAGCAUGGGUCUCACCAAGCCUUCGGAUGUGCUGCCGCUUCCUGUUGCCACUUAAGUCCUAUCUCGGUGCUGAACGCGUCACUGUGUCUACACCUCCAACAAAUGCCCUAAGGCUGCCUCCUUAGGCCUCAUCCCACGGCCCCGGGUUCCCUGGUGGCCCUCCUGGUGGCCCUCCGCACCGGGCUCCAGGACCGCGGAGGCAGCCUGCAGGACUCGGCAGGCCUUCGUUCCAGGCGGACCCGGAGCCACACUCCCCUGACCAGACUCGGUCCCACCCGUGUGCAAGCCCUGACACCCUCGAGGUCCCAGGAGAACAGGCAGGUCCAGGUUUAGCUCGGCCUGAGCGGAACUUCAAGGCAAACCGCACGCCCUCGGCGCCGCGCGACCCACAAUGCCCUGCGCCUACCUGGCCCCGCCCCCUGCACCGCGGCCUCAGAUUGGCCGCGGGACUUCCGCUUCCCUGGUGGGCGGUGCUGUGGCCCCGGCCGGGGGCUGAGUUCCCGAUCGCCAUGCGGGAGGGCAGAGCCAGCCCAGGUGCGUCCAGCGGCAACGUGCGGGGAAGGUGGGAGGCCUGCCCCGAAGCCGAGGCGGCGAAGCUGCUGCCCUUCCUGGCGCCUGGCGCGCGGGCGGACCUGCAGGCCGCAGCAGUGCAGCACGUGCUGGCGCUGACCGGCGCGGAGUCGGGCCGCCAGCUGCUGGCUGGGCAGCAGGCGCUGCUGCAGGCGCUGAGUGAGCUGGCGGCGGCUCCGGCCCCUGCCCCAGCCCGCGACGCCGCCCGCGCGCUUGUGAACUUGGCUGCUGACCCCAGCCUGCACGAGCCGCUUCUGGCCGCCGACCCCGGGCUGCCGGCUCGUCUGUUGGGUCGUGCGUUGGACCCACAGUGGCCCUGGGCGGAAGAGGCGGCUGCCACGCUAGCCAACCUCAGUCGCGAGCCUGCGCCGUGUUCCGCGCUGAUGGCGGCACUGGCAGCAGUCGAGCCAGGGCAGUCGAGCUUGGAGCGGUUGGUGUGUGCACUCUGCACGCGCGGCUACAACGCGCACGCGCCCCUACAUUACCUGGGGCCGUUGCUCUCCAACCUUAGCCAGCGGCCUGCCGCACGUGCCUUCCUGCUGGACCCUGACAGGUGAAGCCCAGACUUCGCGCGGGUGGGGAGCGGGUGGAAGUGAGCAGGGAUGGCAACUAAAGGCCUCUUCCAAUAGGUGCGUGGUCCAGCGGCUGCUGCCCCUUAUCCAGCGUUCAGACUCCUCAGUGCGCAGGGGAGGGGUGGUAGGGACUCUGCGGAAUUGCUGCUUUGAGCACCGUGAGUUGAAGGGGGGGGAGGUUUGGGUGUUUCUGGGGUGGGCACUGGACUCUGGGUCCUCUACGAACCGACCUUAUUAUUAUUAUUAUUAGUUGUAAAUUGACACAGUAUUUUUUCAUGUAUUUAUUUUUUUGUGGUGCUGAGGAUCAAAACCAGUGCCUCACACCUGUGAGGCAAGCGCUCUACCACUGAGCUACAGUCCCAGGCCCCCGACCUUAUUCUUGUCCCCACCCCCAGGACACCAUGAGUGGUUGCUUGGGCCUGAAGUCGACAUUCUUCCCUUCUUGCUACUGCCUCUGGCUGGGCCUGAGGAUUUCUCGGAGGAAGAGAUGAACCGUGAGUGGCUUGGAUUGAUGGUGCCUAAGGGUGGGCCAGGCAGGAAGGAAGUCAACCCCAGGAGAGGGACGAGAAAGUGCCCAGACCCCUUCUGAAACUUUCCAGGAAAGAGUUGCUGAGCACAGAUGAGGCUCACCCAGGUAGAGCCAGGUCUAACUGCCCAGUCAAGGCACCCAGUGCCUCCCACACUCACCCCCAGGGUUGCCUGUUGACCUGCAGUACCUGCCGCCAGAGAAGCAGCGUGAACCUGAUGCUGACAUCCGCAAGAUGCUCAUUGAAGCCAUCAUGCUGGUGAGCAGGGGUGUGCUAUGUUAAUGCCACCGUUCUACACACACAUAGGAGCACACUGACAUAUGAGUAACCUCUUCAAUAUCCCCAGCUGACAGCCACUGCACCUGGGCGGCAGCAGGUGCGGGACCAGGGAACCUACCUGAUCCUUCGAGAGCUGCAUAGCUGGGAACCAGAGCCUGAUGUGCGGUUGGCUUGUGAAAAGCUCAUCCAGGUGGGUGCAAGGUUGGAAAGGCUGAGGAAUGGGAGCCCACAGCUGUCCAGCUGUUCUACUCACCUGCCUCUUCUCCUGGCAGGUGCUAAUUGGAGAUGAGCCAGAAUGUGGCAUGGAAAACCUGCUGGAGGUGCAGGUGCCUGAGGAUGUGGAACGACAGCUGCAGCAGCUGGACCGGGAGCAGCAGCAGCUGGCCCAAGAGUCAAGGGUGGAAGGGACUGCACCUACCUGAGGUCCCUUCAGCAUGGGAGUCCAGAGCCACCUUUGCCAGACCUGCUAGACCAGACCUGCCUACAGACCUUCAAAUCCCCUGUGCCCGCUGAGAAGCAGAGCUAUACUUAGGCUAGAGUGAAUGCUCAGUAAAUGUUGGAGGGUUGAGGACACUUCCCAACCCUAUGUCUCCUGUUGAUACCAAUAAGAAUAAAGGUUGAGCCAAAGCCCACCAGGCCCUGUGCCACAGCUGCCUUCACAUGAGGCAGAUAGGUGGGCCAGUGGAGCCAUGAG